AGAUUCAUUCAAUUAGGAUACCCAGUUUGAGACAUAAUGGGUUUUGGCGAGCUCCAUAGACUGAUUGGUUUUUAUACACAUGCACAGAAAGAUUUGAUUUCCUCUGUGGAAUUUAUAGCAGGGGAGAGGAGGUAAUUAAAUUAAUUUCUGCUCUGGUUUCUAGGCUUUCCUUUCUGUUCUCUCUUCUCCUGCCACCUUUGUUGUUCUUUUUAAAAUAGACUUUCCGAGGGCCUUGCUUGCAUGGAUGAAAAUGAAUUUACUAACUACCAGCAGUUGGUUUGAGUUUGGGGGUGAUUUCCACUGUGACUUCGUGGUUUUUGCUCCAUGAUCUGAAUGGUGUUGGGAAGAGAAUGGGGACAAUCUUGUGCCCAGUGGUGUGUGUAGGUGAUCUGAUGGGGGUGUGGGUGUGGUGUUCACGUGGCUAGGGAGUGACCUUCCCACCAGGAAGGGGUGGUUGGACUGGACUUUCUGGAAGGGAGCUGCCUCUCACGUUUGAUAAUGAGGGGAAACAAAAGGAUGCUUCCCUUUUCUUCAGUUACCAGGUAUGCUUUUCUUCCUCAUUUCUGCUUUUCCCACCUUCUGUUUGGUUUCUCAUCCUCCUGCUCCAGAACCACAUUCUAAUGCAGCAGGGGGAUCUGUAGAGCAGAGGGAGCAGACGCUGGGGAAGGUGCUGGUCAGACAGGCCAACUAUGCCUGCCCCACCCCUUCUCCCUCCCAAAGCCCUUUUAUCCUUUCAUCCACCCCUGACUUUUUAAGCAAGGACUUCUCUCCUUAAACUAAAGAGACAAAGAAGACCCCUGAGAGAUUUGAAAAUUCAAUGGAAAAAGCAAAGAAGAAAAAA
rnacentral:lncRNA from 1 species